GACGUAGGGCGCAAGCGUUGUCCGGAAUUAUUGGGCGUAAAGAGCUCGUAGGCGGUCUGUUGCGUCCGCUGUGAAAACUCGGGGCUUAACCCCGAGCCUGCAGUGGAUACGGGCAGACUAGAGGUAGGUAGGGGAGAAUGGAAUUCCCGGUGUAGCGGUGAAAUGCGCAGAUAUCGGGCGGAACACCAGCGGCGAAGGCGGCAUCCUGGCCCUAUCCUGACGCUGAGGCGCGAGAGCGUGGGGAGCAAACCGG
rnacentral:rRNA from 1 species